GCAACAUGAUGAAUAAAACCAAAUCACCAUCUUUCGACUGAACGCAUGAUGAUUUGUUUUACCUGAGAAGGC
rnacentral:snoRNA from 1 species